GAGUUCUUUGCAGAGGCAAGAGAGAAGAAUCAGACAUCAAACAUCAGAAAGCUGCAGGCUCAUCUCAGCAGCUUUUGUAUUUUUAUCUUAGCAGGGAACUUGUCCAGCCUUAACCUUCUUUUUCCUGCCACUUUCCUGUCUGCUCAGGGGAGAUCAUUCAGAGAAGACUUCACAGCGUUUCCACUGCUCAGCCAUGCUACUGUUGCUCAUCUCAAUAUUGGGGAUAUUUGCCCUGAGAGAUUCCAGAGGCCAGUCAGUGACCCAGCCUGAUGAUCCUGUUUUGGUCUCUGAAGGAACCUCAUUGGAGCUGAAGUGUAACUAUUCCUACGGUGCAACUCCCUAUCUCUUCUGGUAUGUCCAGCACCCCAGGCAAAGACCCCAGCUGCUUCUCAAGUACUUUUCAGGGAACACCGUGGUUCAAGGCAUUAGAGGCUUCGUGGCUGAAUUUAAGAGCAGUGAAUUUUCCUUCAACCUGAAGAAAUUCUCAGCCCAUUGGAGUGACUCGGCUGAGUACUUCUGUGCACUGAGUGACACAGUGCCUGGGACCGCAGGAGGAGUUGAACACAAACCACUCGCGGUGGUGGAGUUUUCAGACACUCAAGAUCGCUUCUUGUUUUAUUUUAAGCGAUCUUUUGCUAUAUGAUUGAAAAUGAGGCAAAGAGAGCUGAGCAGACAGAGGUACUUUUAUAUAAGCCCACAGUUCCAUGUCUGGUAAAUUUUAUUUCGGGAACUUUUUACUUCGUUUAGAAACCAUGUAACAAUAAACAGUUAAGAUCCUAGAAUGAUGUUCUUAUCAUGUACUAAUCAGAUGCUUAAGGACUUGCCUUUAGGUUGACUGUUUUAAGGGAUUGACUGUAUGGGUUUUCAUUUACCACUUUGUAUCUUGCUCAAGACAGAAAACAAAAGAUGAACUGCUCAUGUCUCUCCCUGAAAAUUUGC